GGUCUGUGGUGAGGUCAAGCUUAUCCCCUAUGAAAAUGAGCAGAACUUCUAGUUUGAUGAUUUUAAACCAAAAGAAAACAACAACAGCUCCUUAGCAGCACAGCUGCCAAUGGGGAAAAGGUCACUUUGGGCCAUAAGAGAAGCAGCAAUGCCCCAUGGAAGCCAAAAACUGAACAUUCCAGGGUUCAGCAGAGCAAUGACGAGAAGUGACUACCUGAGACUGGUCAUUCAAAGGCACUCUCGGAACACAUCAACAGGCUUGUGGUGUUGGAGACACGAGUUGCCUCUUCACGUACGCCCUAAGAACUGGAAGGAAAAAAGAGAGGAGAGAAAAAGGAAAAAGGAAAGAAAUGAAAGAAGGAAGAAAGAAAAGAGAAAAAAGAAUGAAAGAAAAAAGAAACUAAAAAGAAAGAAGGUAACAAGGAAGGAAAAAUAGAAAACCCACUUGAAAAAUAAUUACACAAUUACCAACAUCAUCUCCAAAGGCAAAGAAGGUUCUAUCAAUACUCUGUUCACUUUUGAAACUUCCUCUAGCUCUUUGGCAAACAUGAAGGUGUAGAUAAGGACUUAGUAGAUCUGGUUUCUAAUCCCAUCUCUGCUAUUAAUGAGCUUUUGCAACCUGCUAGCAAUUCUCUAUGCACAACAUUCAGUUUCCUACCUUCAUGCUUUUUAAAAGUGGUCUCCCAUGCCUGGAAUGAACUGCCCCCACCCUUCACCUCUUCCUGGUAGAAUCCUAGCUUCUUUCAGAGUAUGUCUCAGCUACCACCUCUAUAAAAGACCUUUUCUGACUCCUUUCUUGGAUAUUACUACGCUCUCUCUCUUCAAAUUAUUAUUUUGCAUAUAAAGAUACUUUUCAUUUAAUUACUUGUAUAUAUCUUGGACAUUCCAGUAAAAUAUAAGCUCUUUAAGGUCAGGGACUAUUUUAUUUUUGUCUUUGUAUGAUGAGGGACUGGCCAAUGUUCUGAGGAUGGGGUUCCCAUUGGUUAGUCUCCCCAGUGACUAGCAUAGACCUUGUACAUAGUUUUGUUGUUCAGUUGUUUUCAGUCAUGUCUGAGCCUAUUUGGGGUUUUCUCGGCACUGGAAUGGUUUCUCCAGCUUCACUCACAGAUGACUAAACUGAGGUAAACAGGGUUAAAUGAUUUGCCCAGGUCACAUAGUUUGUAUCUGAGGUCAAAUUUGAAUUUACCAAAAUGAGUCUUCUGAUUCCAGGUGUGGCACUCUAUCCACUGAAUCAUUUAAUAGCAAAUUCAUAAACUUUAUUGUUGAAUUGAAUUAGACAAGUCUCUUGCCAUUUUCAGACCUCGAUCUUUUUAUACAUCAAUUGGGCCAAUAAUGCCUUACAUAUUCUUCUCACAGGGUAGCUAUAAUUACCUAAGAAAAUAGAGGCAGAAGAAUUUAGAAAGCAAUUUUUAAGGUGCCUUGCAAAUAGAAGUGAUUAUUGUUAUUUACACAGUCAUUUUCAUAUCAGUGUAGUGUUCUUUUGGGGACUUGCCUUUACUUAACUCCAUAUCAGAAGUCAUUCAACUUCCUACAUAUAGAAGAAUCCCGCUAAGUAAGAAGGGGUUGUCUGGAUUCUGAAUUUUACAGUGGGGGUGGCUGGGCAGACUUGUCUCUGAGAUAAGAGAUUUGACAAGUUCCUUAUAAUUACAGAAUUUGGGGUCCAGAAGAGGUAGAAUAUUCCAGAAUUCUUCACUCAGGGAUCAUGCUGUACAUAAUUGGAAUAGGUGGCCAUUUCCAUAAGAGAGACUUCCCUCCUCCCAAAUCUAUCUCUGUCUGUUUCUGCAGAAGCUCAAAGUUCCAUCAUUAGAGUUCCC